GAGUAACACUACCACACGUUGGUAGGCGGAGUUACAUAGCCUUUGCCAAAAUAAACAUUCAUAAAGGGUUGCACUCGUCAUUAAAUUAUGCACAUAUCCAAAAAGGAAUUCAUUACUAUGCACAUAUCCAAAAAGGAAUUCAUGAUAUCUUAAAUAACAAUUUUACUAGUGAAAAUGUAUGUCACCAUAGGCUGCCAUUCAAAUUAAAUUGUUGAUAUCAAGAAUUGAUUUCUUACUAGUAACAACCUUUAUUUUUGAUAUCAGUAAUCACGUGGUUACUAGUACAGACAUCGAUUCUUGAUAUCAACAAUUUAAUUCUUGAUAUCAACAAUUUAAUUCUUGAUAUCAACAAUUUAAUUGUCACUAGUGACAAUGUUCAUUUCUGAUAUCAUGAAUGUGAUUGUUACUAGUAAGAAACUAAUUUUAGAUAUCAGAAAUUAUAUUGAUAUCAGAAAUGCAUUUUCAGAUAUCAGAAAUAACAAUUGUAACAUGUUGAAAUACAUUUACUGAUAUCAAGAAUUAACAUUUCAACUAGUAACAACUAAAUUGUUGAUAUCAAGAAUUCACAUUUUUACUAGUAACAAAGUAAUUGUUGAUAUCAUCAAAGGCAGUUGAUAUCUGAAAUUGUCCUUGCAACUAGUGAAAAUAGAAUUACUGAUAUCUUAAAUAACAUUUUAACUAGUAACAAUACUUUUACAGGAAUUCACAUUUUUACUAGUAACAAAGUAAUUGUUGAUAUCAUCAAAGGCAGUUGAUAUCUGAAAUUGUCCUUGCAACUAGUGAAAAUAGAAUUACUGAUAUCUUAAAUAACAUUUUAACUAGUAACAAUACUUUUACAGAUAUGUAGAAAUGCCAUUUUAACAUGUAAGAAUAGCUAUGGUAAUUAGUUCAUGAAUAUUAAUGAGAUUUUCAGACACUCCUUUUAGCGUCAGCAUUGGCCAAAGAUGGCGGAAGAACAUCCAUGCGCAGAAACGGCUCUUCUUUUAUUUAUUUGUUUUGUCAUUGAAACGUGAAAAUUAUGUUAUGGCUGGAUUAAUUUUUCUUUAUUUUUUGUUAAUUGUAAAAAAAAAAAAAAAAAAAGGAAGUUUAUGGUGUUUCUUUUUAUUGGCCACCAAGUCCUUCGGCUAAUUAAAGGAAAAAUGAACAAGGCAUUAAUUUAGUUUUAAAAAUAACUUCAUGUCGUUUUUUCAGGUGUUUAUUUUUGGUUUUAUUACACUUUCUUCUAAUACAUCAAAUAAAAAAAUACAACCAAAAGGAAAAAUAUAACAGGUAAUAAUGUGCCAUACAAACAUUUUACUGGACUUUUUUUUUUUUUGUAAUAUCGUUGGCUACAUGAAUGAGUCGUGUCCUAAUAGGCAUUAUUUUUAUAUUACAUGUUGUCCAGUUCUUGAAGCAUCGGUGGACAAGAUGAAUGAUAAA
rnacentral:lncRNA from 1 species